UGCUCCCCCCACACCUACCCUGGCACCUCCUUCCCUGACUCCAGACCUCCUGUUGUUUCUCCUGUCCAGAGCCAUGGACCUUUCUCAAAUUCCAGCCUGUUUUAAGUGUUUUCUCUCUCAGUUUGGAUAAAUCUGCAACCCAAUCAAUGAUGCAGUCUGAGAAAGGACAUUGAACAUCUUAUAGAGGGCCCUAAAAUCUGUUCUGGGCACACCCUUAGAGGAAAUGUGAGAUUCUUUUCACCUCCUCACUCUCCUUCUAGCCUAUCGUCCUUCCCCUCAAAUAGAUUCUGUUUCCCCCUUUCAGGCACUGAAAGCCCUGCUGGCUUCCCGCUGCAGACACUGAUUCCAUUUUCUUAUCUGAUUGAGCCUUCAUCGUGGAUUUUUGGCUGUACCCCCAGCAGCUGGAGGGCUGCAGAGAACUCAGAAGCCAAAGUGGGAGCUUGCUGAUGCUGCUUGGAGAGGGAAAAGGUGGUGGCCCACGUGGACAAUAUUGGAGAGGUGCAAAGAUCUCUGAAGCGGGCUCUCUCGGUGGCAGAGCUGAUUGGAGUCGUCACAUUGCCCGAAAGACAAUGAUGAAAACCCACUUGGGAACCCACCCAAGCACAGAUCAAGAGGUACCGCAAAUGCCAGCUGAGAAAACACGGACUGCUCCAACAACUCCAAAUAAAGAAUUGAG